rnacentral:snRNA from 1 species
AAAUUGAAAUUGAAAAAAUUGGAUCGCUCAGGGUGAGGAUCAGCCAUUGCACUGCGGCCAUCUGACCUCUGUGAAUUCUCCACAUGGGAGAAUCUCAACUGCACAAUUUAUGGUAGUGGGGGACUGCGUUCGCGCUCUCCCCUG